rnacentral:rRNA from 1 species
ACGAGGGAUGCAAGCGUUAUCCGGAAUUAUUGGGCGUAAAGCGUCCGCAGGUGGCUCUGUAAGUCUGUCGUUAAAGAAUGGGGCUUAACCCCAUACAGGCGAUGGAAACUACAAGGCUAGAGUUUGGUAGGGGUCACGGGAAUUCCUAGUGUAGCGGUGAAAUGCGUAGAUAUUAGGAAGAACACCAGCGGCGAAAGCGCGUGACUGGGCCAGUACUGACACUCAUGGACGAAAGCUAGGGGAGCGAAAGGGAUUAGAUACCCCUGUAGUCCUAGCCGUAAACGAUGAUAACUAGGUGUUGCCCGUAUCGACCCGGGCAGUGCCGUAGCCAACGCGUUAAGUUAUCCGCCUGGGGAGUACGCACGCAAGUGUG